AUUGAACGCUGGCGGCAUGCUUUACACAUGCAAGUCGGACGGCAGCACAGAGAAGCUUGCUUCUUGGGUGGCGAGUGGCGAACGGGUGAGUAAUAUAUCGGAACGUACCGAGUAAUGGGGUAUAACUAAUCGAAAGAUUAGCUAAUACCGCAUAUUCUCUGAGGAGGAAAGCACGGGACCUUCGGGCCUUGCGUUAUUCAAGCGGCAGAUAUCUGAUUAGCUAGUUGGUGGGGUAAAGGCCUACCAAGGCGACGAUCAGUAGCGGGUCUGAGAGGAUGAUCCGCCACACUGGGACUGAGACACGGCCCAGACUCCUACGGGAGGCAGCAGUUGGGAAUCUUGGACAAUGGGCGCAAGCCUGAUCCAGCCAAGCCGCGUGUCUGAAGAAGGCCUUCGGGUUGUAAAGGACUUUUGGCAGGGAAGAAAAGGCUGUUGCUAAUAUCGACAGCUGAUGACGGUACCUGAAGAAUAAGCACCGGCUAACGACGUG
rnacentral:rRNA from 1 species